rnacentral:rRNA from 1 species
UAGCUUGCUACUUUGCCGGCGAGCGGCGGACGGGUGAGUAAUGUCUGGGGAUCUGCCUGAUGGUGGGGGAUAACUACUGGAAACGGUAGCUAAUACCGCAUAACGUCGCAAGACCAAAGUGGGGGACCUUCGGGCCUCACGCCAUCGGAUGAACCCAGAUGGGAUUAGCUAGUAGGUGAGGUAAUGGCUCACCUAGGCGACGAUCCCUAGCUGGUCUGAGAGGAUGACCAGCCACACUGGAACUGAGACACGGUCCAGACUCCUACGGGAGGCAGCAGUGGGGAAUAUUGCACAAUGGGCGCAAGCCUGAUGCAGCCAUGCCGCGUGUGUGAAGAAGGCCUUCGGGUUGUAAAGCACUUUCAGCGAGGAGGAAGGGGUAAGUGUUAAUAGCGCUUAUCAUUGACGUUACUCGCAGAAGAAGCACCGGCUAACUCCGUGCCAGCAGCCGCGGUAAUACGGAGGGUGCGAGCGUUAAUCGGAAUUACUGGGCGUAAAGCGUACGCAGGCGGUUUGUUAAGUCAGAUGUGAAAUCCCCGAGCUUAACUCGGGAACUGCAUUUGAAACUGGCAAGCUAGAGUCUCGUAGAGGGGGGUAGAAUUCCAGGUGUAGCGGUGAAAUGCGUAGAGAUCUGGAGGAAUACCGGUGGCGAAGGCGGCCCCCUGGACGAAGACUGACGCUCAGGUACGAAAGCGUGGGGAGCAAACAGGAUUAGAUACCCUGGUAGUCCACGCUGUAAACGAUGUCGAUUUGAAGGUUGUGGCCUUGAGCCGUGGCUUUCGGAGCUAACGCGUUAAAUCGACCGCCUGGGGAGUACGGCCGCAAGGUUAAAACUCAAAUGAAUUGACGGGGGCCCGCACAAGCGGUGGAGCAUGUGGUUUAAUUCGAUGCAACGCGAAGAACCUUACCUACUCUUGACAUCCAGAGAAUUCAGCAGAGAUGCUUUAGUGCCUUCGGGAACUCUGAGACAGGUGCUGCAUGGCUGUCGUCAGCUC